AGCUGCUCAGCAUGAUAGAGAGCAGGAGAGAAGGAGCAGAUGACCUUUUACCGCUAUGGGAUUUUCUUUAUUACAUCUCGUUAUUCCGCCUUUGUCCCUGACAAAGAAUGCAACAUUGAGUUUUCACGGCGCCUCACAGGCGCCCCAGCGUGAAUAAGAUGUUGGGUGCAUGGUAAUUGAGUAGGUAUUGAUUGGACUGCAGCGUGGCCUACGAGAGGCCAAUGAGAGCCAGGGGAUCAGAGCAGCACCAUUGACUGCGUCUCUCAUCCCACAUUCUGCAGGAAAACAUCAACGCAGAACCACUUGAGGCAUCAGAAAACAGAAGAACGUUAAAUUUUUUAGAUAACAAAAACACAUCAUAUCACUCCAUAUUCUCCUAUCUGCUCCUGGAAGAGCUUCCAUGAGCACUUAUGUCUGUGAAGAUUCUCAGUCAUCCAGGCCAUAGUUAUUACAUUGUUAUCAUAGCUGAUUUAACCCUCCAUGGAUUCCUUCAGCAUUGGAUGUGUCAUUUGACUGACGGGGUGCAUUAUUUGAGCAGGGCUGACUGUGCUGUACAUAUUUCACUGAGACUGAUCUCUUUCCCCAUCUCUGAUGACUGAUGACUGAUCUCUCAUGUCGGUGUGCCUGGCGAGAGAGCAACUGAUGUGGACAUGUUUGCCAAGGAGGAAGGGGUUAUUAGCCGUGUCAGCAUGCUGUCGCUGUGCUCAUGCUGAACCCUAUUGUUCUUCUCCUCCACUCUACCUGCUAGGAAGAGAGGUUUGAAAACCCAAGUAAUGCUGACAGGUGAAGUAGAAAGUCAGGGUUGGACUUUUUUUAGGUGUAACGUUAUUGUCAUUGGCAGGAAUGCAGAUGCACCAAGAUUAAACAACCAAGAUAUAAAGUGUUAAAGCUUUAGAGGUGCUGGUUGGUGGAAGCUAGCUGGUCCCCCUGGCUUCCAGUUAUUAUGCUAAGCUAAGUUAGUAGGCUACUGGCAGCAGCUUCAUAUUUACUGUUAGCGGCUGGGCGAUAUGGCCAAUG